CCAAAGGCUCUUUUCAGAGCCACCUACAAAAACACUUGGAGGAGUU
rfam:Mus musculus chromosome 13, GRC primary reference assembly.